rnacentral:rRNA from 1 species
UACGAAGGGGGCUAGCGUUGCUCGGAUUGACUGGGCGUAAAGGGCGCGUAGGCGGUUCGUACAGUCAGACGUGAAAUUCCUGGGCUCAACCUGGGGCUGCGUUUGAUACGUGCGGACUUGAGUGCGGAAGAGGGUCGUGGAAUUCCCAGUGUAGAGGUGAAAUUCGUAGAUAUUGGGAAGAACACCGGUGGCGAAGGCGGUUCUCUGGGCCUUACCUGACGCUGAGGAGCGAAAGCGUGGGGAGCGAACAGG